rnacentral:rRNA from 1 species
UACGUAGGGACCAAGCGUUGUUCGGAUUUACUGGGCGUAAAGGGCGCGUAGGCGGCAAUUCAAGUCAUCUGUGAAAUCUCCGGGCUUAACCCGGAACGGUCAGGUGAUACUGUUUUGCUAGAGUGCGGAAGGGCAAUCGGAAUUCUCGGUGUAGCGGUGAAAUGCGUAGAUAUCGAGAGGAACACCAGAGGUGAAGACGGGUUGCUGGGCCGACACUGACGCUGACAGCGCGAAAGCCAGGGGAGCAAACGGG